rnacentral:snRNA from 1 species
AUGCUUGCUUCGGCAGCACAUAUACUACAAUUGGAAUGAUACAGAGAAGAUUAGCAUGGCCCCUGCUCAAGGAUGACAUGCAAAUGCAUGAAGCGUUCCACAUUUUA